UGACUCGGAGACGAAUAGCUUCCGUUUUUUCUUUGAAGAGAGGAUAAGAUAGAGAUUUAAAGACACGGAUUCAUCAAGAGAAAAGAAAUAGAGUGAGAAAAUAAUGGAUUCCAAUUUAUAAGUGACAAGUCUUUACUUUGUAUAAUCUUGAAUUUUUGAUUGAUUUUUAGUAGAGAUACUUAGUUUGAUCUUUGUCUUCAAAUUGGUACCAAAUUCAAUUUCUACAGCAGCUUACCCAAGCACUAUUAGUCUGUAUCUCGAGGGAUAUGGUGGGUGGUGUCCCUGAGCCUUUACGUAAGCUUGGUACCGCUGCUGGUAUUUUGUUUGGUGGAGUCAUCACGCUGUCGUUGGCUUCUACUCUUACGAUUCGAGCACUGCAAACUGUUUCUGAAGCUAAACGGAAAAAAGGUGCUUCACCUUGUGGAGUUUGUAGAGGUAAGGGGUUCUAUAUUUGCAAAUUAUGCAAAGGGAAUUCUACAGUAGAGUGGUCACCUCUAUAUGAUCCUGUUGCCAUAAAUCCAUGUCUCUGCCCCACAUGUGAAGGAAACAGGGUGCAGCGUUGUCUAAAUUGUCUUGGAAAGGGAUAUUGCUGAGCUUUUAAGAGGUGUGACAUAGAUGUAUUGCAGCUUCGGGUUUCUAAUUGACCUUAGAAAUCUAUUCAAGUUACAGACUUCAGCCUACUAUUGACUUCUUAAGUAACUAGCAGGAGGUUUGAAGUCCCACCAUCAGCGCCCAAGCUUCUUCAACUACAGAUUGUUAUUAUGGCAUAAGAUAAGCAGAGAUGACAUUUGUUAUAAUACUUUGAACCUUGACGGUGUUGCUUCUGUACACUCCAGUGGCAGAGAUAUAAAAAGGGGGAUCUCCAAAUCCAUAGCCCUAGGAAAUGUAAAAUGAAUGAACCUCCCCUUUUAGGUUAUAAUGGGUUAUGUUGAACCAAAGUUUUUUACUUGAUAUAUAUGCUACUAAGUUCCAUGAAAUUUCUGGUUAUGAUUUGAUAAUUUUUUCAAAA